UACGUAGGGACCGAGCGUUGUCCGGAAUCAUUGGGCGUAAAGAGCGUGUAGGCGGCCCCUUAAGUCCUGCGUGAAAUCCUGCGGCUCAACCGCAGACGGUCGUGGGAAACUGGAGGGCUAGAGUGCGGGAGAGGAGAGUGGAAUUCCCGGUGUAGCGGUGAAAUGCGCAGAUAUCGGGAGGAACACCAGUGGCGAAGGCGGUUCUCUGGGCAUUACCUGACGCUGAGGAGCGAAAGCAUGGGGAGCGAACAGG
rnacentral:rRNA from 1 species